GACUUGAAUCCAACCUAAGCAAUAGUCCAAUCCAUUUCGGACUAUAAAUAAAAUCCAAAGUCCACAAAUAAAAUCCAAAAAUCCAAAGUCCAUAAUUAAAACCCCAAAAUCCAAAGUCGACAAACAAAACCCCAAAAUCCAAAUUCCACAAAUAAAACCCAAAAUCCAAAGUCCACAAAUAAAACCCAAAAGCUAAAGUCCACAAAUAAAAUCCAAAAUCCAAAGUCUACAAAUAAAAUCUACGACCGUAAAGUCGCUAAACUACACCAAAUUCAUACGACCGCAAAGUCGUUAAACUAAACAAUCAAAUUCAAACGACCUAAAGUCGCUAAACUAAACCCAAACUCAAACGACCGUAAAGUCGUUAAACUAAACCCAAAUUCAAACGAUCGCAAAGUAAUUAAACUAAUAAACCCAAAUUCAAACCGACCGCCACGUCAUUAAACUGAGCAAUUCAAAUCAAGCCGACCGCCAAGUCAUUAAACUGAGCAACCAAAACUUAAACUGACCGCCAUGUCAUUAAACUAAACACCUCAACUCCAAUCGACUGUCAUGUCGCUAAACUGAGCAUCUUAAUUUCAGUUGACCGCCAAGUCGCUAAACUGAACAAAUCAAAUUCAGAUAUGACCAUCAAGUCGUUAAACUGAAUAUUUGACCAUCAAGUCGUUAAACUGAACAUCUGACCGCCAUGUCGGUAAACUGAGCACCAAAACUCAAACCGACCGCCAUGUCAUUAAAUUGAGCACCAAAUCUUAAACCGACCGUCAUGUCAUUAAACUGAACACCAAAUCUUAAAUCGACCGUCAUGUCAUUAAACUGAGUAUGUCAAAUUCAAACCGACUGCCAUGUCAUUAAACUGCGCAUCUUUACAUCAAGCCGACCGCCAUGUCGUUAAACUGAGCGACUGAAAUCAAGCCGACCACCACGUCGUUAAACUGAGCGACUCAAAUCAAGCCGACCGCCACGUCGCUAAACUGAGCGACUCAAAUCAAGCCGACCGCCACGUCGCUAAACUGAGCUACCUAAAUCAAGCCGACCGCCACGUCAUUAAACUGAGCGGCUCAAAUCAAGCCGACUGCCAUGUCGUUAACUGAGCUACUCAGCCUCAAGCCGACCGCCACGUCGUUAACUGAGCUACUCAAGUCAAACCGACCGCCACGUCGCUAAACUGAGCUACUCAAAUCAAGUCGACCGCUAUAACUCAACUCAAACCGACUAAAUGACUGCCAAGUCCAAAAGCUGAACAUUUCAUCAAU
rnacentral:lncRNA from 1 species